GAUGAACGCUGGCGGCGUGCCUAAUACAUGCAAGUCGAGCGAACGGACGAGAAGCUUGCUUCUCUGAUGUUAGCGGCGGACGGGUAAGUAACACGUGGAUAACCUACCUAUAAGACUGGGAUAACUUCGGGAAACCGGAGCUAAGACCGGAUAAUAUUUUGAACCGCAUGGUUCAAAAGUGAAAGACGGUCUUGCUGUCACUUAUAGAUGGAUCCGCGCUGCAUUAGCUAGUUGGUAAGGUAACGGCUUACCAAGGCAACGAUGCAUAGCCGACCUGAGAGGGUGAUCGGCCACACUGGAACUGAGACACGGUCCAGACUCCUACGGGAGGCAGCAGUAGGGAAUCUUCCGCAAUGGGCGAAAGCCUGACGGAGCAACGCCGCGUGAGUGAUGAAGGUCUUCGGAUCGUAAAACUCUGUUAUUAGGGAAGAACAUAUGUGUAAGUAACUGUGCACAUCUUGACGGUACCUAAUCAGAAAGCCACGGCUAACUACGUG
rnacentral:rRNA from 1 species